GAUUUGAAUUUUAUUAUAUUUAAUUUUUGAAUAAGAUUUUAUUUUUAAAAUAUUAGUUUAUUAAGUAAUUUUAUUGAAUAAAGGAGUUUAAUUAUAGUUUAUUAGUACAGUUAUGGAAGUUUUUAUUAAUUUUAAAAGAAGAAUUAAUAUUUUGUACCUUGUGUAUCAGGGUUGAUUAAUUUAUAAUUUUGAAUAAAGUUGUCCCGAAUUUGGAAGAUUUAAUUAUUUAUGUAUUUUUUUGUGUCAUAAAAAUUUAAGAUAAAUUAUUAGGGGUGAAAUAUUAGUCGUUUUCAUAUAUCUGGUUUAAAGGGAAUUUAUUUUAAUUAAGCUUAGAUUGAUAUUUUAUUUAAUUUUUUAUGUUUAAUAGUAUUUUUAGUAAAUUAUUGAGGGAUUAGCUUUAAUAAUUAAGAAUUUAAAAGAUAUAAAAUUAAAUUUUAGUAGGGUUAAUAUUGUUCAUUUUAUUUAAUAUUUUAUAAUUAAUUUUUUUUAUUUAUUAUUUAUUUUUUUUUUGAUUAUUUUACUUUUAUGAUUUAUUUAAUGUUAAUUUAUUAGUAAUAAUGAUUAAAUUAGUAUAAUUUUAUGUUUAUUAUAAUAAAAGUUUUAGGUAAAAUAAAGGAAUUUGGCAAAAAUUAUUCUUGCCUGUUUAUUAAAAACAUGUCUUUAUGAUUAUAAUUUUAAGUCGGGCCUGCCCAGUGAUUAAUUUAACGGCUGCAGUAUCUUAACUGUACAAAGGUAGCAUAAUCAUUAGUUUUUUAAUUGAGAACUAGAAUGAAGGGUUUGACAAAGGAUAAGCUGUCUCUAUUUUAUUUUAUUAGAAUUUUACAUUUAAGUUAAAAGGCUUAAAUUUAAAUUAAAGACGAGAAGACCCCAUAGAGUUUUAUACUUUAUUGUAUUUAUUGUUUAGGAUUAUUAAUUUUAUAUUUAAUUUGUAUUUUAUUGGGGUGAUAGUAAAAUUUAAUUAACUUUUAUUUUUAUUAAACAUUAAUUUAUGAUUUAUUGAUCCAUAAGGUAUGAUUGUAAGAGUAAAUUACCUUGGGGAUAACAGCGUAAUUUUUUUAGAGAGUUCUUAUCGAUAAGAAGGAUUGCGACCUCGAUGUUGGAUUAAAAUUUAAUUUGGGUGAAGGAGUUCAAAAUUUUGGUCUGUUCGACCAUUGAAAUUUUACAUGAUCUGAGUUUAGACCGGUGAGAGCCAGGUUGGUUUUUAUCUUAAUUUAAUACAAUAUUUUAGUACGAAAGGACCAAUUGUUGAUAAUGAUAAUUAUUUGGGAUUAAAAUUA
rnacentral:rRNA from 1 species